ACAGGAAGGUUGUCAUGAGUUAGAGGU
rnacentral:piRNA from 1 species